GUGCUCGCUUCGACAGCACAUAUACUAAAAUUAGAAUGAUACAGAGAUUAGCAUGGCCCCUGUGUAAGGAUGACAUGCAAGUUCAUAAAGUGUUCCAUAUUUAA